CUGGGCAGUACUUGACGUCACCUCUGUGGAAUGUGGGCAUGUUACGAACAGCAUUGCUGCUUUCAUGGAGAAAGACAUCUUGCUGAUGUACCCCGAAAGUCCCCCACUCCAUUGUCACACUGAAAAGUAAAGCCCCUCUAUGCUUUGGGGAAACACUGCAGAUAAUGUGAAUUAUCCAGAGUGAUCUGCAGUUUUAAAGAGUUAAGCAAGAAAUAAUUACAGAUAUUCUGAAGUGGCAAGAUGAGUCAUGUGAAGACAUCCAACAACAUCUAGUGCAGCCAGUGCUUCCUGUUUUGUCACCAUGGUGUUGAUAUGGUUAGAAGAUCAUGCUGCACAUCCAACAAUUUAGAGACUUACAAUCAAUGUUUUGUAAAACAGCUUCUUUUCAUUUAGAUAAGUUAUACACCUAAACCAUUGUAAAAUGCUGAAUGAGGAAAGUGAAUUUUCAGACUGUUGUUUUUCUGUAUUCCAGUGAAAGUAUUGCAUCUUACCACAAAAAUCCUAUUGAUUACGAUCUAAAAAAAAUGGACUUCUAUUCUAACAGGAAUUCAAUUCACUUUUAUCAUGCAACGACUAUUGCUGACUGUGUUCAAAAUCUCACUUCUGCAUUUAUGGACUGUAUCUGUGUACAUCAUUUCAGUGGACCUGGUAGCCAGGCUUGGGAAUCAUAUUAGUCGGCAAUGGUCGCUGCACAGUAAAAGUGCAUUUUUAGCUCAUGUACAGGUGGUUAUAUUUUGAGGGUGCAGUCAACUUAUAUUUGAAGCUAACACCAUUGCAGUAUUGACUCACUUUAAAGUACCAUUGUUGCUGAAUUUCACAAUCUUUAAGUGCUCUCUUUUUGCAGCGUUGUGCGAAUACAUUUGUAAUCAUUCCCAGUAAGCAAGAAGUUACUGGUUGAAAAUUGUUUUGAAAAUGUGAAGGUGUAUAUAAACGAGUCUCUCCAGUUAAAUAAAAUUAUUA